rnacentral:ribozyme from 1 species
CACCAUCAAGUAAGAAGCCUUGUCGUGGCGAUGGUGCUUUCUACUAAUUCUUA